GAUGAACGCUGGCGGCGUGCCUAAUACAUGCAAGUCGAGCGAACAGACGAGGAGCUUGCUCCUCUGACGUUAGCGGCGGACGGGUGAGUAACACGUGGAUAACCUACCUAUAAGACUGGGAUAACUUCGGGAAACCGGAGCUAAUACCGGAUAAUAUAUUGAACCGCAUGGUUCAAUAGUGAAAGACGGUUUUGCUGUCACUUAUAGAUGGAUCCGCGCCGCAUUAGCUAGUUGGUAAGGUAACGGCUUACCAAGGCAACGAUGCGUAGCCGACCUGAGAGGAUGAUCGGCAACACUGGAACUAAGACACGGUCCAGAAUCCUACGGGAGGCAGCAGUAGGGAAUCUUCCGCAAUGGGCGAAAGCAUGACAGAGCAACGCCGCGUGAGUGAUGAAGGUCUUCGGAUCGUAAAACUCUGUUAGUAGGGAAGAACAAAUAUGUAAGUAACUAUGCACGUCUUGACGGUACCUAAUCAGAAAGCCACGGCUAACUACGUG
rnacentral:rRNA from 1 species